rnacentral:snRNA from 1 species
GUGCUUAUGUCAGCAGUGCAUAUCCUAAAACUGGAACAAUGCAGAUCCCUUGGCAAGGAUGACUCGCAAAUCUGUGAUGCGUUCCACAUUUUU